AGAAGUGUUCAUUUCCAUCAUAAAUUACCGCAAUUCAAAUCGCAUACAAGUGUCGAAGACUGGUUGGAUGGUAAAAUGAAGCAAUACAAGCCCAACUUUGAACAAAAUGGCUACGAUGACACAAGCUUCAUAUGUGGAAUGACUGAUCAGGUGGAGCACACUUAUUUGCCCUGUAAUCCUUACUUGUCCCCGAGCACCGUCUGACGUACUCAUUUGUCUUCGCACGAGGGUGUUUUUAAAGAUGUUUCUAUGGGAUGAGCGCCAUAAACUAAGACUGGCGUGUCGGAACCAGGCCUCCCUCAUCACUUUGUAUUAAAAUAACAAGAUCGCUAUGAAAGAUGUUUAUGUUAUGUUUUCUAUUAACAUGCGGUAUAAAAAUCCAUAUAACUAUAUAAAAAUGCGAAACGCUACGUAUGACGUUUCGUAUAUACAAUGUAUACUACGUUUAUGCUCUGAUUUACAAUUGUAUCUGAAGGCCCGUUUACACGAUCGAUUUUUCUGAUCCGAUUUUGUCGGAUCCCAAAAAACGGAUCGUGUGAACACGUAUAAAGUGAGCCUUUCGACAGUCAUUAUUUUUACGAUUCACCAUGGUAUUUGCUAUUUUGAAAUCCAUAUUACACUAUUGCAACAUAAGUUGCAGAUAGUUUGAUAUUGCUAGUAAAUAAAACUCUGUGUAUAUUUUCUUGAUAUGGUAAGUUAUGAUGCAUUAAGACAUGAUUUUUUCAUAAUAUAUGUAAA